ACUCCUACGGGAGGCAGCAGUAGGGAAUCUUCCACAAUGGGCGCAAGCCUGAUGGAGCAACACCGCGUGAGUGAAGAAGGGUUUCGGCUCGUAAAGCUCUGUUGUUAAAGAAGAACACGUAUGAGAGUAACUGUUCAUACGUUGACGGUAUCUAACCAGAAAGUCACGGCUAACUACGUGCCAGCAGCCGCGGUAAUACGUAGGUGGCAAGCGUUAUCCGGAUUUAUUGGGCGUAAAGAGAGUGCAGGCGGUUUUCUAAGUCUGAUGUGAAAGCCUUCGGCUUAACCGGAGAAGUGCAUCGGAAACUGGAUAACUUGAGUGCAGAAGAGGUAGUGGAACUCCAUGUGUAGCGGUGGAAUGCGUAGAUAUAUGGAAGAACACCAGUGGCGAAGGCGGCUACCUGGUCUGCAACUGACGCUGAGACUCGAAAGCAUGGGUAGCGAACAGGAUUAGAUACCCCUGGUAGGAUAGCG
rnacentral:rRNA from 1 species